rnacentral:misc_RNA from 1 species
CAAAUUUCAGAAAGAAAUCCCAGAAAACAACAAAUGGAUAUUAACAAGCCUUUGAGGCCCAUGACUCACAUUCUCCUUGUCUUACUCUUUCAUUUUGUUUUGUUUCUUUUCUUUUCCUUUCCCAUAUAAAUGCACAACUAGGAAUGUAAUUAUUGUAUUUUAUCCCCAAUUGUUGUUUCCAUAUAGAUUAGGCCAUUAAGAAGGUUCUCCAAUUUUUCCCUCUUCAUCUGUCCUAUGCUCUGGAAAGAGCCAUUUCGAGGAAGAGUAAUUGUAGAAUAUAUAUUUAUCUUUUUAAAUUAAUCUAGUCAGGUAGUUUUCUCAAAAAAAAAAA